rnacentral:rRNA from 1 species
UUCUGGCAUCGAUGAAGAACGCAGCGAAAUGCGAUACGUAGUGUGAAUUGCAGAAUUCAGUGAAUCAUCGAAUCUUUGAACGCACAUUGCGCCCUUUGGUAUUCCAAAGGGCAUGCCUGUUCGAGCGUCAUUUGUACCCUCAAGCUUUGCUUGGUGU